UACGGAGGAUCCAAGCGUUAUCCGGAUUUAUUGGGUUUAAAGGGUGCGUAGGUGGCCUGUUAAGUCAGGGGUGAAAGACGGUAGCUUAACUAUCGCAGUGCCCUUGAUACUGAUGGGCUUGAAUGAACUAGAGGUAGGCGGAAUGUGACAAGUAGCGGUGAAAUGCAUAGAUAUGUCACAGAACACCAAUUGCGAAGGCAGCUUACUAUGGUUUUAUUGACACUGAGGCACGAAACCGUGGGGAUCAAACAGG
rnacentral:rRNA from 1 species